CGCAGGAGCGUUUUCAAAUAGCAAUUUGUAACGGCUCCUUUCCUCCAUUUCGUGACGGCUGUCAUCUCUAACACACGGAAGAACAUCCACAUAAACCCUGAAAUUGUUCUCGCAAACAGCCGUUUGAGUCACCUCAAAUGUAGCAGAGGGCCAGAUUGAAAUGGUCCGAUGCACUUCACUUGCAAUGCAGAUCAUCAUUUCUGGACAGCUUUCUACUUACUGCUGUGGACAUGAAAGGAUCGUCCUAGGCUUGCCCAUGCUGAUGGGCUGCAUCACAGCAGUACUGGAGCUGAAUUCCUGUUGGACAACAUCUUCAGGAUGCUUUGACUAGUAAGUGAAAAUCCACAUUUUAGCCAUGUAGACUUUUGCUCGUCCCACUUUAAUCACAG